rnacentral:misc_RNA from 1 species
UUAUUGAAUCAGUUUAGAGAAACAAAAUGUAUCUUAUUACACUGUUGAUUCUGUAUACUCAAGUAUAUGCUAUAUUCUUGCAAUCCGAAACAACUGCUCUGUAUAUAAUUCUAUAGUAAUUGCUAAAAAGACUAAAGCAACUGUAAGGUCUUCCGGAUUUUUACACCAUAUCAGCCUCAGCAAGAGCGUAGAAGUAGAUCUGACUCCAUUAAUGAACACCUGCUGGUUCAGGAACUCCUACAUUUUGCAAGCCUUGCUGUCCUUACACAUUUCCUCCUUCUUCCUUCGUGCCUUCAGAACUUCUUCUAAAGAUGGUCGACCUGUUACUUGAAGACGAUAUUUUGCCCAAACUCCAUACACAGCAUCAGCAAUAGUUGCAAUAGGUUCAUAUUUUGUAAUUGCAUACACCCAUCCUAAACCAACUGCUUCAUACAGCCGUCUAAACGCCUCAACAUCUGUAACCACAGUUCCAUCUGAUAGUAUAGCAUGUAUUCUUCCCAUAACCGUCUCAUAAUCUAGGCCUUCAUUCUCGUCUGGGCGGUAUUCAUCUGAACUUAUGUCAAGAAAUUUAAUUGUUCCAUAACUUUUAUUCCUCUCUCUUAGCAUGUCAACCUCACGCAUGCAGAGGGGACACUCUCCAUCGUAAAGCAUCUUAAUUUUCCAGUUUUCAGGAGAUUUCUCUUCAUUAAUAUCCUUGUUGGGUGCCACAGUUGUUCCACUAAUUGCCCUAAUUGAAUACCUUGGUCCAUGUUGAUUGAGCAGAUUAGGGUUUGGAUUGGGAAGAAAUUUAGAAUAGGGGGAUUUUGUAGUGAUAUAAGGAGGAAGUGAGAAGAGAGAUAUAUUGGCUCGUCUAAAAACAGGAGACGAUGCUGCUCUGAAUGCCAUUUGCAUAUUUUGGCAAUGAAGAAAAAA